rnacentral:sRNA from 1 species
GUUGAAUAUAGUGUUUUAA